UAAAAGCUGAUCAGCUAAUGCCUCAGCCGAAAAGAGAAGAGGGCUGGACUUCUACAAGCCAGGGAAGGAGUAGAAAGGAAAUAUCAUGCCAAAACACAUGGAGCAGAGAGAGCCAGAUGAUUAGUAAAAUCACCUUAAAUAUCCGCUUGUCUAACAAGUGAAGUGGUUUCUGCUCAUUGCACUUGAAGUUUCCUCCAUAGCCCCAGAGCGCACUUUGAAACAGGGCAUGUGCUGUGCGAAUGAGGGAAGAUGAAUAGCAAGCUUUACUAUCCAACAUUUUCUCUUGAGCUUUGCAAACUUUAUCUCCAAGGCAGACUCUAUUGUGUCCCACCUGACUGGCAAGAAAGACGCAACAAACCGGAAUCUUCCGCGGCAAAAGCUUUAUUGCUUACUUCUUCAGGAAGACCCCGAACCGGAAAAUGGCGCCGCUUUUAUAACCCACAGUGUGACGUUUUAGCACCUGAUAUGGCGUGACAGCUCCUGAUUCGUUGCUCGCACAUCACCCCAUUAUUACACCCCGAGAA